GAUGAACGCUGGCGGCGUGCCUAAUACAUGCAAGUCGAGCGAACGGACGAGAAGCUUGCUUCUCUGAUGUUAGCGGCGGACGGGUGAGUAACAUGUGGAUAACCUACCUAUAAGACUGGGAUAACCUCGGGAAACCGGAGCUAAUACCGGAUGAUAUUUUGAACCGCAUGGUUCAAAAGUGAAAGACGGUCUUGCUGUCACUUAUAGAUGGAUCCGCGCUGCAUUAGCUAGUUGGUAAGGUAACGGCUUACCAAGGCAACGAUGCAUAGCCGACCUGAGAGGGUGAUCGGCCACACUGGAACUGAGACACGGUCCAGACUCCUACGGGAGGCAGCAGUAGGGAAUCUUCCGCAAUGGGCGAAAGCCUGACGGAGCAACGCCGCGUGAGUGAUGAAGGUCUUCGGAUCGUAAAACUCUGUUAUUAGGGAAGAACAUAUGUGUAAGUAACUGUGCACAUCUUGACGGUACCUAAUCAGAAAGCCACGGCUAACUACGUG
rnacentral:rRNA from 1 species